rnacentral:rRNA from 1 species
UCGGGGGGGCGUGCUAUACAUGCAGUCGAGCGCGGGAAGCGAGUGGAUCCCUUCGGGGUGAAGCUCGUGGAACGAGCGGCGGACGGGUGAGUAACACGUGGGCAACCUGCCUGUAAGAUCGGAAUAACCCCGGGAAACCGGGGCUAAUGCCGGGUAAUACUUUCUUUCGCAUGAAGGAAAGUUGAAAGAUGGCUUCUUGCUAUCACUUACAGAUGGGCCCGCGGCGCAUUAGCUAGUUGGUGAGGUAACGGCUCACCAAGGCGACGAUGCGUAGCCGACCUGAGAGGGUGAUCGGCCACACUGGGACUGAGACACGGCCCAGACUCCUACGGGAGGCAGCAGUAGGGAAUCUUCCGCAAUGGACGAAAGUCUGACGGAGCAACGCCGCGUGAACGAUGAAGGUCUUCGGAUCGUAAAGUUCUGUUGUUAGGGAAGAACAAGUACCGUGCGAAUAGAGCGGUACCUUGACGGUACCUAACGAGGAAGCCCCGGCUAACUACGUGCCAGCAGCCGCGGUAAUACGUAGGGGGCAAGCGUUGUCCGGAAUUAUUGGGCGUAAAGCGCGCGCAGGCGGUUCCUUAAGUCUGAUGUGAAAGCCCACGGCUCAACCGUGGAGGGUCAUUGGAAACUGGGGAACUUGAGGACAGAAGAGGAGAGUGGAAUUCCACGUGUAGCGGUGAAAUGCGUAGAUAUGUGGAGGAACACCAGUGGCGAAGGCGACUCUCUGGUCUGUUUCUGACGCUGAGGUGCGAAAGCGUGGGUAGCAAACAGGAUUAGAUACCCUGGUAGUCCACGCCGUAAACGAUGAGUGCUAGGUGUUAGGGGGCUUCCACCCCUUAGUGCUGAAGUUAACGCAUUAAGCACUCCGCCUGGGGAGUACGGCCGCAAGGCUGAAACUCAAAGGAAUUGACGGGGGCCCGCACAAGCGGUGGAGCAUGUGGUUUAAUUCGAAGCAACGCGAGACCUUACCAGGUCUUGACAUCCUUGGACAAUCCUAGAGAUAGGACUUUCCCUUCGGGGACCAAGUGACAGGUGGUGCAUGGUUGUCG